CGAAGAGAGAGAAAUAGAUGAAGAGAGAGAUAGAGAUGGAACAGAAUGGGAGAUGAGGCAUGUAAUAAGAGCUUGAUACCUUAAUCAGGAGAGAGGGAGAAAGGGAAGAUGGAAAGAUGGGUAGGCUUCAGGAGGGAAACAAGGAGGAAAAGGGGGGUCUCUAUUUGCAUUACCCAUAAACCCCCUCCAGUAUAAAAUGCAAAUGAGGAGUCCUUAAAACUCCAAUAAGGUGUGUAAUAGGCCCAUAAAUUGCCUUCCUUGCCUGAAUGCCGUCAGUCCAGAGCCGUGUACACACCCUGCUCCUCUUUCAUGUCUUCUCCACCCUCUUAGGUAAUACUGAACAAAAAUAUAAAAACAACAUGCAACAAUUUUAAAGAUUUUAAGGAAAUCAGUCAAUUGAAAUAAAUUCAUUAGGCCCUAAUCUAUGGAGUUGACUGGGAAUACAUAUAUGCUUCUGUUGGUAACAGAUACAGUACCUUAAAAAAAAUAUACAUGGGCGUGGAUCAGAAAACCAGUCAGUAUCUGGUGUGACCACCAUUUGCCUCAUGCUGCGUGACACAUCUCCUUCUCAUCGAGGUGAUCAGGCUGUUGAUUGUGGCUUGUGGAAUGUUGUCCCACUCCUCUUCAAUAGCUGUGCGAAGUUGAUGGAUAUUGGCGGGAACUGGCGUACACGUUGAUCUAGGGCAUCUCAAACAUGCUCAAUGUGUGACAUGUCUGGUGAGUAUACAGGCCAUGGAAGAACUGGGACAUUUUCAGCUUCCAGGAAUUGUGUACGGAUACUUGCGACAUGGCGCCGACAGACAUGGCAACUCUGCUUUUAGCUCCAAAGCAACUUUGCAGUAUUUUAAAAUGUUUACAUUAUUAGCCCAAAACGUUUUUUAUGUUAUUACAUACAGCUGGAAAUACCUUUUGGAUAUCAGAGCGGCAGUAACUCACCAGUGUUCCGGCCAGAAACACGACUUUCCAAAAUUGGAUCCUUUGUUCAUGCCCUCCAAGGCAAUUUAUCUUAUCCCAUAGGCAUCUCCAAGACGCCGCCAGCACAGAAGAGGUAUUUGGAGUGGACUUCUAGUCCGACUCAGGAGGCGUUCACACGAUCUACCACUUCUGAGGAUACAGUGCAUUUGGAAAGUAUUCAGACCCCUUCUCUUUUUCCACAUUAUUCUUAUUCUAAAAUGAAUUCAAAAAUAAAUUCUCCAGAAUCUGCACACAAUACCCCAUGAUGACAAAAUGAAGACAUGUUUUUAGACAUUUUUUCAAAUGUAUAAAAAAAAAACAGAUGCCUUAUUUACAUUAGUAUUCAGACCCUUUGCUAUGAGACUCUAAAUUGUGCUCAGGUGCAUCCCGUUUCCAUUGCUCAUCCUACAACCUGCUCGCAGACACAGACGUCUUGCUCCCGGACAAGCUAAACACCUUUGCCCCCAUUGAGGAUAACACAGUGCCACCGACGUGGGCCGCUCCCGAGGACUGUGGGCUUUCAUUCUCCGAGGCCGACUCUGCUGUCCCCACUUGCUUCAAGAUGUCCACCAUUGUUCCUUUACCCAAGACAGCAAAGGGGUCAGAUGAGGAAGGCUAGCUCAUUAUGCCAUUCUGUGUCAGCCUGUUUCCAGCUCAGUGCGGUCAUCUGAGGUUCAUCACAGCCAUCUCCACAGGAACGAGCCCAAUCUGCCCAAUCUGGACAAACUAUAAAUACGAAUCCACAGUUGUCUUUGGGUGCUUCGCCAAUCAAGAUGAGCGCUAGGCAGUGCUGUAGAAAGGGCUCAGGGCUAUAGUUAAAUAAGCCAGAGUUGGUAAGGGGAUGAAGGAAGCAUGUUAGCUGGGCUAAAUCUGACUUACUAGGCAGCUAAUGCCAUUGUGAACAGUGUUAAGUCCACUGUGUCUCUCUCGCCGCAUAACUGAGUUACAGGUAAGGUCAAGUUUAAGCUCCUCUACAGAGAUUUGCAGUAAUGUAUGGUAAUUCCAUUAUAGAGUGGAGGAGGGUUAUCCCUAUUAAAUAAUACUGAGCCAGACUUGGGGCACCGACGUUGUUACUCAAGGCUGACUGUACUGUCAUUAUCUGUGCUGGUCUAUUCUCUUCCUAAACUGUUACUCUACUUGUUUGAUUCACCAGGUUUUAAACCCAGGCCUCAAGAAACUGUUAGAGCUAAAGCCUCCACUCAACAAUGGUCAUGAACUUGUAAAAUGGCGUAAGAUGUGUAAGAUGGCACCGAUAGACAUGGCCGUCUUGUUUCUGGCUCUGAGGCAACUUUGCAGUAUUUUACAUUUUUUCAAUGUUAUUUCUCACGUUAUUGCAAGUAUUUCGCUACACCCGCAAUAACAUAUACUAAACAUCUGUAUGUGACCAAUAAAAUGUAUUUGAUUUUUAACUUUAGGGGAGAGCUAGCGUAAUAUUGGGCUGCAAACUCAAAUUGAAUAAAUG
ensembl:lncRNA